ACGAAGGGGGCGAGCGUUGUUCGGAUUUACUGGGCGUAAAGGGCGCGCAGGCGGCGGACCAAGUCAGGCGUGAAAGCCCCGGGCUUAACCUGGGAACUGCGUCUGGGACUGGUCUGCUAGAGAUCGGGAGAGGAGAGUGGAAUUCCCAGUGUAGAGGUGAAAUUCGUAGAUAUUGGGAAGAACACCGGUGGCGAAGGCGGCUCUCUGGACCGAUACUGACGCUGAGGCGCGAAAGCGUGGGGAGCAAACAGGA
rnacentral:rRNA from 1 species